rnacentral:rRNA from 1 species
ACGUACACUCCUACGGGAGGCAGCAGUGGGGAAUUUUGGACAAUGGGCGAAAGCCUGAUCCAGCCAUGCCGCGUGCAGGAUGAAGGCCUUCGGGUUGUAAACUGCUUUUGUACGGAACGAAACGGCCUUUUCUAAUAAAGAGGGCUAAUGACGGUACCGUAAGAAUAAGCACCGGCUAACUACGUGCCAGCAGCCGCGGUAAUACGUAGGGUGCAAGCGUUAAUCGGAAUUACUGGGCGUAAAGCGUGCGCAGGCGGUUAUGUAAGACAGUUGUGAAAUCCCCGGGCUCAACCUGGGAACUGCAUCUGUGACUGCAUAGCUAGAGUACGGUAGAGGGGGAUGGAAUUCCGCGUGUAGCAGUGAAAUGCGUAGAUAUGCGGAGGAACACCGAUGGCGAAGGCAAUCCCCUGGACCUGUACUGACGCUCAUGCACGAAAGCGUGGGGAGCAAACAGGAUUAGAUACCCUGGUAGUCCCA